UUAAGUAGACCAUACAUCACAUUUCUGGCCCAAUUAUCAAGAUUGACUGAUUAUUCACCAUAAUUUCAACACCAUAAUUACUUUUUUAUGGAUUCACCUGUUUUACAGAAAACCAUAUCAACCUGAACAUCCACAAGAAGUGCCCUGUUUUGUGAGAUGGACACAUAAGUAUCCAAAGAAAACUUACAUUCAGUUCUUACUCAUUCUUCUGAGCAACCAUGAGUGCUCAACCAGUACACAUUGUCCCUGGAAGAUGGAGAAACAGCUUGUUGAUCAAGACACUACUUAUAUUAAUACUUUUUGUUGGGUUUUUUUCUGUUUAUUUUUCUAGAACUUACAACUGGACAACUAUAAUGGUUGUAUUGGGUAAACUGUACCCCAACAGCUUGCAGGU